rnacentral:rRNA from 1 species
UACGGGGGGAGCAAGCGUUGUGCGGAUUUACUGGGCGUAAAGGGCGCGUAGGCGGCCAGCACAAGUCAGUUGUGAAAUCUCCGGGCUUAACUCGGAAAGGUCAACUGAUACUGUGCGGCUAGAGUGCAGAAGGGGCAACUGGAAUUCUCGGUGUAGCGGUGAAAUGCGUAGAUAUCGAGAGGAACACCUGCGGCGAAGGCGGGUUGCUGGGCUGACACUGACGCUGAGACGCGAAAGCUAGGGGAGCGAACGGG